rnacentral:rRNA from 1 species
CCUACGGGGGGCUGCAGUGGGGAAUAUUGCACAAUGGGCGCAAGCCUGAUGCAGCCAUGCCGCGUGUGUGAAGAAGGCCUUCGGGUUGUAAAGCACUUUCAGCGGGGAGGAAGGCGGUGAGGUUAAUAACCUCAUCGAUUGACGUUACCCGCAGAAGAAGCACCGGCUAACUCCGUGCCAGCAGCCGCGGUAAUACGGAGGGUACAAGCGUUAAUCGGAAUUACUGGGCGUAAAGCGCACGCAGGCGGUCUGUCAAGUCGGAUGUGACAUCCCCGGGCUCAACCUGGGAACUGCAUUCGAAACUGGCAGGCUAGAGUCUUGUAGAGGGGGGUAGAAUUCCAGGUGUAGCGGUGAAAUGCGUAGAGAUCUGGAGGAAUACCGGUGGCGAAGGCGGCCCCCUGGACAAAGACUGACGCUCAGGUGCGAAAGCGUGGGGAGCAAACAGGAUUAGAUACCCUGGUAGUC